UUUGCUCACUUGACCGAUAGCAUCCAUAGUCCAUCCUGGAAUAGCGAUCCUGAUACGGCACUGCCUAGCGAAGGUCGUCGAUGUUCCAUUAACUGACUGAAAUGUUGGAAUGAACGGCCAGGAUCAUUCUCGUCCACUCAACAGAACAGACAGAUGCCCGUAGCCAACUAAGUUAGGUUGAAAUUGACACAGUAUAUAAGGGCUGGAAGGCAAGGGGUAGGUAAGGGUUCGCAACUGCUUCGGCAGACAGCCGCCUUGAAGUUGAUGUUGGAUGGGAGGAAAUGGAGAGGGAGUAGGGUUUUCGGAAGGUUACUGGAUGGGUGAGUGGGGAAGAUAACUAAGCUCUGUUUGUUAUUUUCCCAACUCCACCCAUCCCAUAGGUUUCCGAUCAUUCCUCCCUCUCCUCAUCACCUCACCUCUGCUCCUCUCUCUUUACAAGACUAAACAUAGAAGAAGUUGAUGGUUUCUACUAGCCAUCAUAGGUUGAUGGAUGAGGCCUGCAAAAACAGAUUUGUUCUGACAAAUCUUAACCCCAGGAUUAAACAGCUCUCUGGAAAGAAAAACUUUGACCCCCUGCAUUAUUGUAAUAUUUGCAGAACUGCGAUAACACUCCUAUACACAUCAGCUCUCAUACCAUGCGCACCUUUUUCAUGGAAUUUAAGUAAUCAUGCCCCCUUUCAACAUGCAUGCCUUGCUUGUAAAUAACGCAAAUAAACAAAUGUAAUGUGAUAAGGUUUCACUCUCUCCCAGCAUUUCCUCAAAUAGUACAAUGGGUCGACUCGCAUGACCAUGUUGCUGGCAAGCUGCAAUAAUGGCUGUCCAACUAACUACAUUUCGAUUCUCGAUCUCUCGAAAUAGUGACCAUGUCAUCGGGUUUGGUUAAUGUGACCGCAUUUAGAGUGCAAAUUAAGGAGGUUGAUGAAGAACUGGAGUGGAAGUGAAGUUGUUGACCAAGAUUUGGUUGUGUAUUUGUUUAAAGAUUCUGCUUUUUUUGUUUUGUUUUGUUUGGUGUUUAGGAUGUGGAUAGGGGUAGAGUAUGGUGGUGGUAAGAUUUGUAAUGAAAUCUGAAGUGGGUGCUAAAUUUGCAUGGGAUUCAGGAGGUAAGUAGACUUUCAUAAUAUUGCACAAAAGUAGUUCAAGUAACCUA